GCAGACAUAGAAGGGAUGGGUUCGAAGCAUACUUCUAUCCCUUUGGUUAGAGCAACCACCCCAUGGGUCUCUCGAAUGUUUUUCUACGUACGGAGGGGGUGUUAAAGGUGCCCUCUGAAUGUCAGAGUACCCCUCCAAGUCCCAUCCAGGAGGGGCUCCUAUAGCCAACUUACAGAUGUCAGGGAAAAGAUCAGGCCACCAAGUCCACAGAGGGUGUACCUCGGCGAUUGUCCAUACAGCCCUACCCCCCUCAUUGAGUACCUCCCACGUUUGUUGAACAGGACUGUGGGGGUUGAAGUCUUUUGGGAUCGCUCCUACGAAGCAGGCGCAACUUAAAAGGAUUAGUAGUCUUCUCCAAAGUCCACUCAUCAUGGCUGACUCCAGGGGGUGCUCUCUUAACGUGGGAUGCGUGGACCCAAGUGGGGAUUCCUUCCACUUUGACCGCGGUGGGCGUUGUCAGUAGCACUAAGUAGGGUCCCUUCCACCUCGGUUCUAGGUUUCCCGCUCGGUGUCUCCUCACCAGGACUGCGUCUCCUACUUCAAACUGAUGCGGCACCUGCCAAGGGGUCC
rnacentral:lncRNA from 1 species